ACCCUCAUUGUCCAGAAGGGAUUUCUUCUGGUUGAUGAGGUAUAACAACCCCAUUGACCAGAAGGAAUUCUUUCCGAUUGAUGAGAUGGAAGAUCAUCAACCAGAAGGAAUCCCUUACGGCCAAUGAGGUUGUUGUACCUCAUUGACCGGAAGGAAUCCCUUCUGGUCAAAGAGAAA
rnacentral:miRNA from 1 species